rnacentral:rRNA from 1 species
UACAGAGGUCCCGAGCGUUGUUCGGAUUCACUGGGCGUAAAGGGUGCGUAGGUGGUGAGGUAAGUCGGAUGUGAAAUCUCCGGGCUCAACCCGGAAAUGGCAUUGGAAACUACCUUGCUGGAGGAUUUGAGGGGGGGAUUGGAAUACUUGGUGUAGCAGUGAAAUGCGUAGAUAUCAAGUGGAACACCAGUGGCGAAGGCGAAUCCCCGGAAAAUACCUGACACUGAGGCACGAAAGCUAGGGGAGCAAACAGG